GCCCGGGUAGCUCAGUCGGCAGAGCGCACCCUUGGUAAGGGUGAGGUCGCCGGUUCAAGUCCGGUCCCGGGCU
rnacentral:tRNA from 1 species